rnacentral:rRNA from 1 species
AAAGAUUUAAAGGUCGAACAGACCUAAAGCUUGAACUUCUACACCCAAGAUUACCUUUAAUCCAACAUCGAGGUCGCAAUCUUUUUUGUCGAUAAGAACUCUCAAAAAAAAUUACG